GGGGGCGUAGUUCAGCUGGUUAGAACGCCUGCCUGUCACGCAGGAGGUCGACGGUUCGAGUCCGUUCGUCCCCGCCA
rnacentral:tRNA from 1 species